rnacentral:lncRNA from 10 species
CGGAGUCUCCCUCUGUCGCCCAGGCUGGAGUGCAGUGGCGCGAUCUCGGCUCACGGCAAGCUCCGCCUCCCGGGUUCACGCCAUUUUCCUGCCUCAGCCUCCUGAGUAGCUGGAACUACAGGCGCCGCGCCACCACUCCCGGCUAAUUUUUUUAUUUUAUUUUAUUUUUUAUUUUUAGUAGAGACGGGGUUUCACCGUAGCCAGAAUGGUCUUGAUCUCCUGACCUCGUCAUCCGCCCGCCUCGGCCUCCCAAAGUGCUGGGCUUACAGGCGUGAGACACUGCGCCCGGCCCAUACUACUACUUUUUUUCAGAGAAACAGAAGCCACUUUUGGAUUUCAAACAGAAUUUAACAAAGAGAAUGUUGACACAGUUGAAAUUAGAGCUAAAAAAGCCAAACAAAGGAUAAGACGAUCCAGAAAUCUGUAAUGGCAGGAAGUUGUUACCAUGAUUAUGCUGAAAGAAGAAACCCAGAAGACCACCUUACUGGAUCUUAGAAGCCAGGACUACCUGGGAGAAGCUGGAAGUACACUACACAACAGACCUCCAUUCAUGCAGUAAAGGGUUGUUUGGUGGGUAAUGGAGCCACUGAGAAAAACUGGCCAUCGCUGGACAUAACAGUAGAGGUUAUUUAAAUUUAAUUUACUUUUUUUUCCUGACUUCUUUUAAUUAAGAAGAGGAGGAAAGGAGGGAAUUUUCCAUGAGUUUGAAUCCUACAAAUGCCACAAACAGCUUCUGAAGCUGAAGCCAUGACAAUGAACUUCCAUGACACAAAGAAGAUGAGGAAUUGGAAGGGAACAGUGCAGGAGAAACACAGUGACAUUGUGUCACAGUAGGUAUUUAUGCCUGCUAUCCUCAUCCGAGAUAAGGUCAAUAACUUCUGCUGGUGAAGCCCAAGUCUGCUGGGGGCUCACAGCAGUUCCAUGACUGUGUCUGCCUGGUGCUAAGAUACUGUGUGCCCGAGCCAUGCUUCCACGAAGAAGCACUCCAAAUCACACCACCUCGAGGAUGAACACACCUUGCAUGUUCCUGAACUCCCACAAUCUCUACUUCACUAUCUGAAGAGGCAAUAUUAAUUUCUUCAUUGAGCGGUGCAUUGCCGGCAGAUAUUUUGUCACUUGCUAGGAAUCCUGGAUGCAAAUGACCUGCCUCUGCAUUCAGCUCCUCUAGAAGCCAGCUGGUCCUCCAGGUAGCUCCUGUGUCCUGGCCGCCUAUAGAAUUAUUGUGCUCUUGAACUACUGCAGCCGCCGAUAAAUUGUACACAGUUACCACUUCCGGGUCAGAGCUGGUGUCAGACAUAUCAUAAUGAGCUACAACUGGAGGUCCAUCUGGUAUCUCUGCAGUGAUUGUCUUGCUGCUCCCUGAAACCUCUUCAUCAUCAUCUGAUGAG